rnacentral:lncRNA from 1 species
AAUGUUAGAGUGUUUUGGGUUUUUUUCUGCAAAACAUACAACCUUACCUUGAUGAGCCACCUCAUUGCAGGAAUUUGUUCAGAAAAGGGCAGGAAGUAACUGUGAAUUUGAAUGAACAAUUAACAGCUCCCUUAUUGAAGUGCAUCACAAUUCAUGAAAGGUGGUGGUUUCCUCGCUUCCUUUCUGAAACCAAAAAGAAAGGUAAAACAUCAAAUAUUGUAUGAAAAAGUUUCAGAACACAAGGUCAUUUUAAUUCAUAGUUUCUUUUAAAGAACUGUCUUUUCUCGGCUUUUAUAUUUUGCCCAGAAAGGUCGUUUCCUUUGAGCUUUUUCAUUAAAGAAGGUUUGCUCUUUAAAGUAUAUUAUCAAAGAGUGCAGAAAUUGCAAGUUACUGAAACUAAAAUGCAUGAUCAAUUUUAAGUCAUCUAACUAAAGCCCACUUAAAAUUGGCUGUGCUUUGGUACCGAGAACUCCUUUGAUAAAACUCGUAAAAGAUAGACAGUCGGUCGAUGCAAACUAAGGAAAGAAGAUAAUUAGGUAAAAUUUUCCUUCGACGGUCGAGAUGGUUCUUAGGAAGUGUACGAAUUAAGGACCCGAUCAUGAAGGUUGUAAUGAAGUUUGAAAGGGACAGAAUUUGAAGAGUCCAAACUAACUCUUCACAUUCCCUCUAGGUUUCAGAAUUCUCCAUUGACAAGCAGGAGGAACAAUCUUAAGUCAUUGAAUCCUGGCCCAGUUUUCUCAGCAACUAUAGGGUGGAUAUAUACCUGCUCAAUGAUCAAAAUAAGAAGGCACCUCAGGCCUCGGCCCAUUCCUGAAGGCACAUUGGAGAAACCGGUUCUCUUGAGAAGUCAGCAGCAAGGAUCUGGUGCUCAGGGAGAAUUGAAAGCUUUGUAGAGAAGCCAGCCUCAACCUGCUGAGCCCUGCCCAAGUUCAUGAUGUCUUCCUCUGCUUUUGGAUUUGACUUCUGAACUUGCUGUGGAUCUUGCCUGUUAGUCCACUUGGAAGGCCCAGGUGGAGUCUUAACAACAACGGCCAGCGGUAUCUGCUGAUGGCGAUGUCUUGGAGAUAUUCUGUUCUGUGACAGCAGGCUACACCCUUCUUCUGUCUACUAUUUGUAUCCCAAUGCACAAGGGGCUUGGGUAAGAGGGUGUGGAUGGUUCAGCACAGUUCAUCACCACUAUUCCUCCUGGAAUGACUGAAGCUCAUCUGCUGGCGAUAGGAUAUAGCUUUACCUUCUUAUCCAUUGGCAGCUGACCAAUCCUCACCCAAAGGACAAUGGGCCAGAGACUCUGGGUGUAAGAGUGCAAGACCCUGUCUCUCAACGACACUCAUACUUGAAGAGGCCGUUUUGCUGCUAGCAGUGUCA